GAUGAACGCUGGCGGCAUGCCUAACACAUGCAAGUCGAACGGUAAGGCUCUUCGGAGUACACGAGAGGCGGACGGCUGAGUAACGCGUAGGAACACACCCUGCAGUGAGGGAUAAGACACCGAAAGGUGUUCUAAUACCGCAUACGGUCUUCGGAUUAAAGCAUUUAUGCGCUGAAGGAGUGGCCUGCGUCAUAUUAGAUAGUUGGUGAGGUAAUGGCUCACCAAGUCGAUGAUGUGUAGCUGGUCUGAGAGGAUGAUCAGCCAGACUGGAACUGAGACACGGUCCAGACUCCUACGGGAGGCAGCAGUGAGGAAUAUUUCACAAUGAGCGAAAGCUUGAUGGCGCAAUGCCGCGUGCAGGAUGAAGGCCCUCGGGUUGUAAACUGCUUUUAUAAGAGAAGAUUAUGACGGUAACUUAUGAAUAAGGGACGGCUAACUACGUG
rnacentral:rRNA from 1 species